UACAGAGACUGCAAGCGUUAUUCGGAUUCACUGGGCGUAAAGGGUGCGCAGGCGGCCAAGUGUGUGAGGCGUGAAAGCCCGGGGCCUAACCCCGGAAUUGCACCUCAAACUACAUGGCUAGAGCAUUGGAGAGGGUAGCGGAAUUCACGGUGUAGCAGUGAAAUGCGUAGAUAUCGUGAGGAACACCAGAGGCGAAGGCGGCUACCUGGACAAUUGCUGACGCUCAGGCACGAAAGCGUGGGGAGCAAAAGGG
rnacentral:rRNA from 1 species